GAGCACGUAGGUGGGUUUGUAAGUAGAUGUGAAAGCCUUCUGUUCCACGGAAGAAUUGCAUCUGAACCUACAAACCUUGAGUAUAGGAGGGGAGAAUGGAACUUCUGGUGGAGCGGUGAAAUGCGUAGAUAUCAGAAGGAACGCCGGCGGCGAAAGCGAUUCUCUGGCCUAUUACUGACACUCAGUGUGCGAAAGCUAGGGGAGCAAACGGGAUUAGAUACCCCGGUAGUCCUAGCCGUAAACGAUGGGCACUAAGUAGAGGGGUUUU
rnacentral:rRNA from 1 species